rnacentral:rRNA from 1 species
CAGGCUUAACACAUGCAAGUCGAGGGGCAGCAUGGUCUUAGCUUGCUAAGGCCGAUGGCGACCGGCGCACGGGUGAGUAACGCGUAUCCAACCUGCCUUACACUCUUGGACAGCCUUCUGAAAGGGAGAUUAAUACAAGAUGUUAUCAUGAGUAAGCAUUUUCGCAUGAUUAAAGGUUUACCGGUGUAAGAUGGGGAUGCGUUCCAUUAGAUAGUAGGCGGGGUAACGGCCCACCUAGUCUUCGAUGGAUAGGGGUUCUGAGAGGAAGGUCCCCCACAUUGGAACUGAGACACGGUCCAAACUCCUACGGGAGGCAGCAGUGAGGAAUAUUGGUCAAUGGACGAGAGUCUGAACCAGCCAAGUAGCGUGAAGGAUGAAGGUUCUAUGGAUUGUAAACUUCUUUUAUACGGGAAUAAACGAAUCCACGCGUGGAUUUUUGCAUGUACCGUAUGAAUAAGGAUCGGCUAACUCCGUGCCAGCAGCCGCGGUAAUACGGAGGAUCCGAGCGUUAUCCGGAUUUAUUGGGUUUAAAGGGAGCGUAGAUGGGUUGUUAAGUCAGUUGUGAAAGUUUGCGGCUCAACCGUAAAAUUGCAAUUGAUACUGGCAGUCUUGAGUACAGUUGAGGUAGGCGGAAUUCGUGGUGUAGCGGUGAAAUGCUUAGAUAUCACGAAGAACUCCGAUUGCGAAGGCAGCUUACUAACCUGUAACUGACAUUGAUGCUCGAAAGUGUGGGUAUCAAACAGGAUUAGAUACCCUGGUAGUCCACACGGUAAACGAUGAAUACUCGCUGUAGGCGAUAUACAGUCUGCGGCCAAGCGAAGGCAUUAAGUAUUCCACCUGGGGAGUACGCCGGCAACGGUGAAACUCAAAGGAAUUGACGGGGGCCCGCACAAGCGGAGGAACAUGUGGUUUAAUUCGAUGAUACGCGAGGAACCUUACCCGGGCUUAAAUUGCAACCGAAUAUGGCGGAAACGCUAUAGCUAGCAAUAGCGGUUGUGAAGGUGCUGCAUGGUUGUCGUCAGCUCGUGCCGUGAGGUGUCGGCUUAAGUGCCAUAACGAGCGCAACCCUUGCCGAUAGUUACUAACAGGUCAUGCUGAGGACUCUGUCGGGACUGCCAUCGUAAGAUGUGAGGAAGGUGGGGAUGACGUCAAAUCAGCACGGCCCUUACGUCCGGGGCUACACACGUGUUACAAUGGGGGGUACAGAGGGCUGCUACCACGCAAGUGGAUGCCAAUCCCAAAAACCUCUCUCAGUUCGGACUGAAGUCUGCAACCCGACUUCAUGAAGCUGGAUUCGCUAGUAAUCGCGCAUCAGCCACGGCGCGGUGAAUACGUUCCCGGGCCUUGUACACACCGCCCGUCAAGCCAUGGGAGCCGGGGGUACCUGAAGUGCGUAACCGCAAGGAGCGCCCUAGGGUAAAACUGGUGACUGGGGCUAA